rnacentral:ncRNA from 2 species
UAGUUCUACAAUUGCUGCAGCUUCCUUAAGUAGUAUCCAUUAAGAGGUCGUCAUCUAGCUAAAAUCGACCUUUUGAUGUACUACUUUAAAAAAGCACAGUCAAAGUCAACAGAACUG